CUGCAGACCCCCACAGAGGGCUCCAGUCAGGGCCCAUCGACCACGGAGGAGGACCCGGCGCCAAAGGCGGUGACAGAGUGCGGUGUGUGGGGUCGGGGGUUACGGGG
rnacentral:lncRNA from 1 species